UGGACCAGUGAUGAUGACUGAUGGCGUAUGAGUCAUGGAUGGUGAAUACUAUAUGUGCCUGAAACUCUGAGGUCCAA
ensembl:snoRNA